GUUCUUGCUUCCAAGCACAGCUCCUAAAAUAGGAAUGACACAGAGAAAAUUAUAAUGACCCUUGUGCAAGAUGAUAUGCAAAUUUGUGAAUCUUUCCAGAUUAAA